rnacentral:rRNA from 1 species
AGAUUGAACGCUGGCGGCAGGCCUAACACAUGCAAGUCGAGCGGCAGCACGGGUACUUGUACCUGGUGGCGAGCGGCGGACGGGUGAGUAAUGCCUAGGAAUCUGCCUGAUAGUGGGGGAUAACGUUCGGAAACGGACGCUAAUACCGCAUACGUCCUACGGGAGAAAGUGGGGGAUCUUCGGACCUCACGCUAUCAGAUGAGCCUAGGUCGGAUUAGCUAGUUGGUAGGGUAAAGGCCUACCAAGGCUACGAUCCGUAACUGGUCUGAGAGGAUGAUCAGUCACACUGGAACUGAGACACGGUCCAGACUCCGUACGGGGAGCAGCGAGUGGGAA